GAUGAACGCUGGCGGCGUGCCUAAUACAUGCAAGUCGAGCGAAUGGAUUAAGAGCUUGCUCUUAUGAAGUUAGCGGCGGACGGGUGAGUAACACGUGGGCAACCUGCCCAUAAGACUGGGAUAACUCCGGGAAACCGGGGCUAAUACCGGAUAACAUUUUGAACCGCAUGGUUCGAAAUUGAAAGGCGGCUUCGGCUGUCACUUAUGGAUGGACCCGCGUCGCAUUAGCUAGUUGGUGAGGUAACGGCUCACCAAGGCAACGAGGCGUAGCCGACCUGAGAGGGUGAUCGGCCACGGGGACUGAGACACGGCCCAGACUCAUACGGGAGGCAGCAGUAGGGAAUCUUCCGCAAUGGACGAAAGUCUGACGGAGCAACGCCGCGUGAGUGAUGAAGGCUUUCGGGUCGUAAAACUCUGUUGUUAGGGAAGAACAAGUGCUAGUUGAAUAAGCUGGCACCUUGACGGUACCUAACCAGAAAGCCACGGCUAACUACGUGCCAGCCGCCGCAGUAA
rnacentral:rRNA from 1 species